rnacentral:rRNA from 1 species
UACGUAGGCAGCGAGCGUUGUUCGGAAUUACUGGGCGUAAAGAGUGUGUAGGCGGUGCUCUAAGUUCGGUGUGAAAUCUCCCGGCUUAACUGGGAGGGUGCGCCGGAAACUGGAGUGCUCGAGCGUGGGAGAGGAAAGCGGAAUUCCUGGUGUAGCGGUGAAAUGCGUAGAUAUCAGGAGGAACACCUGCGGUGUAGACGGCUUUCUGGACCAUUGCUGACGCUGAUACACGAAAGCGUGGGUAGCAAACAGG